CGCAGUUCUGUCACAAACCGUUCAAAAGACUCGCUAGCUCCCUGUACCCUCCCAUGGAAUUUGUACCUAGCGAAUAUCGCAUUGGUCUGCUUCAAAACGAUCGUAGUAUGUUUUCAGUACCUUUGAUUCAGCCUCGAGGACCCGUGAACAUGAGCUCCACAUGCUGUUUGUACUUACGCCAUGCAUCGGGAUGACAUCUUCAUCCCUGAAAAUGUUUUCAUCCUGGAGGAGACUGUACAGGAGGCAGAGGAGGAAAGAACGGUUAGUACAGCAUGACAAACUAACCACUGGGUGCCUGAGUGUUUCUAUGCUGCAGUGGAGAAGAGAUCCACCGGAACCAUCACUAAAGAGCUCGGGGCCCAGCUAGAUUGCGCUCACAACCAUUAGCAUACAACCGAGUCCGGCCCCUAAACGCCACAGAUGGACCUGACGGAGAGUGAGAUCAGUGAAGACCAGAACUCACUGUAUGAACCUGAGAGCUCAGAGCCACAAUCAUCACAGUGCGAGCCAAGACAUACUAUCAAUCACUUUGGGGGAGCGGGCUGGUGUUCCGAAAAUGGAGAAGGAGCAGGCCAUUCAACAGCGAAUUCAAAGAUACACCAAUCCAUAAAGGGAAUCAAAGUGGAAUUGUCCACUGAUUUGUUUACCCGUUUCAACUAAUGUGCUACCUUGUCCUGGUCCUGCUGUUUCGACUCUCUCUCUCAACCUAUGAAUGCUCAGCUAUGAAAAGUCAACUGACCUUUGCUCCUGAGGUGUUGUUCUGUUGCACCCUCUAUAACCACAGUCGUUAUUAUUUUGAGGUAAAAAGGGCAUUUGUAAAAUACAUUUGAUUGGUUGAUUGUUUGCUGCACUGGAUGCUGUGUAAUCACUAACUGUCUGAGUUGAGUGAUGGGACAUUUAUAUAGUAUCUGUAACAUAUUUUGGUGUAUUUUAUCUGCAUCUUAACUUCUUAAAGUGGCAAUCAGCAGUAGAAACAAUGACAAAGUCUCUCCCUACUCCUCUUUCGGUAAAAAGCUGAGGGAUGGAGCUGGAGAAUGUAAGCACUCUCAAAUUCAUAGACAGAGUUAUAGAUGCAAGAACUGACAAUCUAUGAUAUCAAAAUUGUAUUCCUGUUUCUAUGAUCUGUUUCCACUACCAUGUACCCAGUUUGCUUUGGAUAAAGACGUCUGCUAAAUGUCAUAUGUUAUUAAAAUAUACUUUGACUACUUUGCCAACUA